UGGUAGGGGAGCGUUGUGUAAGUGGAUGAAGGUGAGUUGUAAAGCUUGCUGGACAUAUCACAAGUGCGAAUGCUGACAUGAGUAACGAUAAUGGGAGUGAAAAACUCCCACGCCGGAAGACCAAGGUUUCCUGUCCCAUGCUAAUCAGGGCAGGGUAAGUCGGCCCCUAAGGCGAGGCAGAAAUGCGUAGUCGAUGGGAAACGGAUUAAUAUUUCCGUACUUGUAUAAUCAGUGAUGGAGGGACGGAGAAGGCUAGGCAAGCUUGGCGUUGGUAGUCCAAGUGAAAGCGAGUAGGUUGAGUGUUUAGGUAAAUCCGGACGCUUAAGACUGAGACGCGAG
rnacentral:rRNA from 14 species